rnacentral:rRNA from 1 species
UACGUAGGUGGCAAGCGUUGUCCGGAUUUACUGGGCGUAAAGAGCGCGCAGGCGGUCGUUCAAGUCGCGUGUGAAAGCCCCCGGCUCAACUGGGGAGGGUCACGCGAUACUGAUCGACUCGAAGGCAGGAGAGGGAAGUGGAAUUCCCGGUGUAGUGGUGAAAUGCGUAGAUAUCGGGAGGAACACCGGUGGCGAAGGCGGAUCUCUGGGCCGAUACUGACGCUGAGGAGCGAAAGCGUGGGGAGCGAACAGG